GACGGGGGGGUCCUAGCGUUGUUCGGAAUCAUUGGGCGUAAAGCGUGUGCAGGUGGUUUUGUAAGUUAGAUGUGAAAGCCUUGGGCUUAACCCAAGAAGUGCAUUUAAAACUACAAAACUUGAGUAUGGAAGAGGGUCGUGGAAUUCCAGGUGUAGUGGUGAAAUACGUAGAUAUCUGGAGGAACACCGGUGGCGAAGGCGGCCCACUGGUCCGGUACUGACGCUGAGGUGCGAAAGCGUGGGGAGCAAACAGG
rnacentral:rRNA from 1 species